GGAGAAAUGGCUCAGCAGUUAAAAGCACUGACUGCUAAUUCAGAAGACCUGGGCUCGAUUCCCAGUACCCACA
rnacentral:tRNA from 1 species